GGCUGAGGGGCCUUGGGGCUGGGCAGGGGGCAAUGGGGAGUCACGUGAGGUGCCUCUGGGGGGCCCCUCCAGGCAGACUGUCUCCCCUUGCCCAAUCGUUGUUAGGCGCCUGAACAGAAUCCUGAUUGAAAUGUCCGGAAGUAUGCUCCUCAAUUCAGCCCUCUUUAGAGUCAUGUGAAUCACACAUACGAUGAAACAGAACCUUCAAGGAGCUUUCCACAGUGAUGUUUUGAAGGCAAAAAAGCAAGUGCCAAAUAAGAAAGGUGUGAUCAGUAUGAUGCCCCUGGGCAAGAUCCAUGUCUCUCUCCCUCAGAUUUACCAGAUGUCUCUUCCUUGGAUUCACCUGCUGCCUGUCAUCACGUCUUGGCAUUGGCACCUCCAUCUUGCUUUGCCUUGAUCCUCACUCCUGUCCUGCUUUUCUUCUCCAAACCAACCCUUUUUCCUAGGCCGGGUUGUGCAGCACUCCUAGUUGUGAGAGCCUAGUCUCCCAAGAUCCGAACCCCUUUGGAUUUUUCCUGGUCCUUGGGCUCCCGCUCCUGCCUUUUGCCUUCCUGCCUGCCCUGGAGGAGAGAGGUCCCUCGUUAUCGACCAAGCCACAAGAGUUCGAACAUCCCACCGGACGGAUUUAAGUAGUAUAUACCUUCUGCUCUCAAACUUCUUACUCCCUUCCUGUCUUACUGCUUCUAAAAUCCAAAGCCUAUUCUCUCCAAGACCGUUACUCUCUAGCCAGACUUGAAUGAAUUUAAUUCAGAAACUCAAGCCAAAUUGCCUCUUUGUGAGCGGUAACUUAGUCGUAACUUGUUAGUCUUGCUAGUGUUGUUAGUUAAAUAUUGUCACCAAUUAACCAUUAUUUCUCUUCCUGUACCCUUAAAACCCUCAAAAUAAACCUACUUUUGAACCUUAA